rnacentral:rRNA from 1 species
UAUGUAGGCGGUUGGGUAAGUUUGGUGUGAAAUCUCCCGGCUUAACUGGGAGGGUGCGCUAAAGACUGCCUGGCUUGAGUGUGGGAGAGGAAAGCGGAAUUCCUGGUGUAGCGGUGAAAUGCGUAGAUAUCAGGAGGAACACCUGCGGUGUAGACGGCUUUCUGGACCAUAACUGACGCUGAGAUACGAAAGCGUGGGUAGCAAACAGGAUUAGAUACCCUGGUAGUCCACGCCCUAAACGAUGCAUACUUGGUGUUGGCCAUUCACUUGGUCAGUGCCGGAGCUAACGCGUUAAGUAUGCCGCCUGGGGAGUACGGUCGCAAGGCUGAA